AUGUCGCUCUCACACAGGCAGCCAGCCUCGCACACCGCUGCUCCCAGCCAGCUCCGUCAGGGCCAGCCCACACAGUGCCCGGCGGUCUCUCCGAAAGAAAUGAGCCAAGCCGGGUUUGAGUGGCAGAGGACAGAGGGCAAGCUGAAUGAGAUUGGGCUGAAUGUCAGCAUGGACGGGCGGCUGAAAGACGGGCUUGUGAAGAAUGCCAGCUUCCUGGAGCAGAAUAAGCUCUGCUUCUUUGAGGGGAAGCUAGACAAAGAACUCAGCAUUGAAGCGCAGGGCAAGGAGUAUCAAGCCACCUCGGGUCACCUUGCGAGCAGGUAUGUGAUUGCAGACACCUACCAUCCCUCAGAGGGGAGCUCGAUGUACCAGAAGGCGGCCGAGUUCCAUCUGGGACCCAGAGAGGGGCCAGACAAAAACAAAGCCACUACAGUCCUGGGGAUGGUGAUGGGGAAGAAUGCGCCGGAGACUGAGAGCCAGCCAGAUCUGCAUUUCCCCGGGGCUGCUGACAUGCCCACCCAGUAUGUUAAGGAGCAGGAAACCAGUGUUUGGAACCCCAACUUUCAUCCAAUGUCAGAGGCUCAAGUCCCUCAGCACUCAAGGGAAGGAACUCCAGGAAAGGAGAAUGGCACCCCUGCUGGCUGCCGGGUGAUUGGGGUGGGGAGUGCCAGCUCCAGGCAGCCCGAAUGUGAGUCCUCACUGCCGGUGGCGGCAGCCCACCCAGCCCCAACGCACUCACCCCCUGCCAUUCCACCAAUCACGAGGGUCGAGUUCACCCCAGAAUGUUGGGAUACCAGCUCUCAUAUCCAAGUCCAUGAUAAAGAGGUAGAGAAAUUGAGUUUUCCUGAGGAGGGGGUUUUGCUUGAGCAAGCCCCUCAGCAGAAAAAGGCAGUGCGCCGGGCCCUGUCUGAAUGCUCUCACCUCUCAGUGCCCCCAGCUGUCAACCUUGCAGACAAGUAUCCUGAACGUCCUGCCCGAGAAGAUCUUUCUUCUGGCCUGCUGCCCCUCACCAGUAGCCCAGUGCCGAGUCCCACAGCCAAACAACCGGGGGCUCCUGCCAUUAGACGCUCUAUGACGGUGGCUGAGGAGCAGACAACCAGCCACAAAUUGAACCCUGGAGAACUGCCCAUUCUGUCUACUGAAGAGACACCUCCUUUCAACUGUGAGGAACCAGUGGCCAAGAAGAGAGAGGAAUUGACCCACUUCAGCAACAACCACAGCAGCAGCAGCAGCAGCUCUGGGAAGAGGGAACUGGGCACUGCUGGGUUCUCUGUCCCUGGUAAGCUGGAGCAGAUUCCUGAAGUGAGCAGCGCAGAGAAAGGACAGGAAGAUACUAGUGAAACAGCGGAUUUGUGCUCCCAGGUCUGCCAGGGAGGUGAGAAACAGCCAGGACAGCCGGUUCUGGCAGGGAAAAAGGAAAUCGAGGUCACUGCAACCCUGAGCACUCCAUCGUUCCUGUGUGAAGAGACCCCACGUGAUGGAAUAGCCAAGCCAGAAGAAGGACAACCUGCCGGAAGCGUGUCUGGAAAUGACAUCACCGCCCCUCCAAACAAGGAGCUCCCACCAAGCCCAGAGAAGAAAACAAAGCCUGUUGCAGAGGCAAAGAUUCCUGAGAAGCGGGUCUCUCCAUCCAAGCCGGCCUCUGCCCCAGCUGUCAAACCUGGCUCCAAGAGCACCCAGGCUGUUCCCAAAGCCCCAGCAACUGCGGCUCUUGCUUCACCUGGGUCAACCAGUAGGAACCUGUCCACACCCUUGCCCAAGAGGCCCACUGCUGACUUGAGUCGCCCAAAGAGCACCACCACAAGUUCUGUGAAGAAGAGCACCGCUGUCCCUGGGACAGCACCCCCAGCAGGGGCUCCCAGCAGAGCCAAGCCCACAGCCACGCCUCCCAGGCCCUCCGGGACUCCUCCCGCGGACAAGAAGCCCACAGCAGCCAAGCCCAGCUCCUCUGCCCCGAGGCUGGGCCGCGUGGCUCCCAAUGCUUCUGCCCCUGAUCUGAAAAAUGUCCGCUCCAAGGUCGGCUCCACCGAAAACAUCAAGCACCAGCCUGGAGGAGGCCGGGUCCAGAUAGUCUCCAAAAAAGUGAGCUACAGCCAUAUUCAGUCCAAGUGUGGUUCCAAGGACAAUAUUAAGCAUGUCCCUGGAGGUGGUAAUGUUCAGAUUCAGAACAAGAAGGUAGACAUCUCUAAGGUCUCCUCCAAGUGUGGGUCGAAGGCUAACAUCAAGCACAAGCCUGGUGGAGGAGAUGUCAAGAUCGAAAGUCAGAAGCUGAACUUCAAAGAAAAGGCCCAGGCAAAGGUGGGAUCCCUCGAUAACGUGGGCCACCUGCCUGCAGGAGGUGCCGUGAAGAUUGAGACCUACAGGCUGACGUUCCGGGCAAACGCCAGGGCCCGCACCGAUCACGGGGCCGACAUUGUCUCCCGCCCCCCUCACUUCCCUGGCGGCCCCAGCUCAGGCAGCCAGGCCCCUAGCUUCCCGCCCCAGGCUGCCCCCCAG
rnacentral:lncRNA from 1 species